AUGGGCAAAGGCAAAGGCAACCAACAUUAUCAGUACUAUUAUUCCCACACACACACCCCCAAUAUUACUUCAAAGUAAACCUACCACCUUCCUUCCCCAAUAUAUAUUAAUUCACUUCAACCCAUCUCUUCCUAAUUCCUAUUCCUUCCUUCCUUCCUUCCUCUUUUAUAUAUAUAACACUUCCACACACACACACCCUUAUAUAUAUUAAUUGAAUAUUGAUAGAUACAUACAAUACGUUUAUAUAUAUAUAUAGAUAGAGAGAGAGAGAGAGAUGGAGCUUGAACUAGGGCUGGGUCUUCCUAAUUAUAAUAUUAACUACCAGAGAGAGAGUAGUAGUAGUAGUAGUGCAGGUGCAGGCAUUAUGGUGAAAGGUCAUGUGGACCUGAAUUGUGGUGAUGGAGUAGUAGCACCCAAAAACAGGCAGCAGCAGCGCUACACAAGUCGUAAUAAUUAUAAUCAGCUCAAUUCAUCAUCAUGCUUAUCUGCUGCUGAUGAUGAAGUUGAAAGCAAGGAUUUGUGUAAUUUGCUGUUAUGGAGUGGACGACAGCCAAACGAGGAAGACCCAGACCCAAACAGAUGGCCAAACCUUCACCUCAACCACCAGAACAAUAAUAUUAUUAAUGAAGAAGAAGAAGAAGAAAUAGUAGUGGGGUGGCCCCCGAUAAAUUCAGUGAUGAGGAAAGAGUUAGUAAUGGUGCAGCAUCAGGGGCAUGAUGAUGGUGGUGGUGGAGAUAGGAGGAUGAGGAAAUCGUGGAGGUAUGUGAAGGUGAAGAUGGAAGGAGUGGGAAUUGGAAGGAAAAUUGAUGUCACUCUCUAUCAUUCUUAUCAAGCUUUAACACACGCCUUGAUUCACAUCAUGUUUGCCAAUUACACUGAUGCGAGUAGAGAGCUGGGGGAUUAUGCAAUCUUGUAUCAAGACAAACAAGGAGACUGGAUGAUGCUGCCUACAGAUCAUCAUCAUCAUCAUAUUCUUCCUUGGGAGUGUGCAACGUUUGGAGAUCAUAGUAAGGAAGGAAAAGUAGAGGCGGCAUUUAGAGUUGAGGGACAAAACUACUACUCUGCUCUGGUGUUGUGUGUACACACCCAGUUAGGAAUAGCAUGCAAUUUCUUCUAUUUCUCAUAUCAUAUCAUGUUUUAUUUUCUAUCUUUGUAAUUAAAUAUAUUUCUUUCACUGCUCUCUGCUCUCUGCUCUCUGCUCUCUGCUCUCUCAUUCUCAUAUGUUAUUAUUACUAUAAUAAUAAUAGUAAUUCUUGAAGGCCGAUUUAUAAACAACAUUUAAUUCAAAAAGGCACACUUGGAACGGCCCAAUGGAAAUAUGGCCUACAAAAACGAACCAUCUAUUGGAUUGGGCUUUAGAAUUUCAAAAUUUCCCAACACCACAAUGGAUGGAUUUUGGGCUUUUCUUACAACAAAUACAUAGCCCAACAGCCGAGUGAUAAUGAGAGAGAGAAAGUGAUGAAUGAAUAGUGAGUAGUGAGAGAAGCAAAGCAAGCAACCAUAUUUAAUUACAACAAUUACCAACUCCUCCUCAUCAUCAAUUGUCCUAAAACAUACACUACACACUACACAACUCUCUCUUAUUACUCUACUCUCUUUCUCACAUCAAAUCCAACGCUCCACAUAAUCCGGGAUCCCAAAUUUCACCCCUCUCUCUCCCUCUCGCUCAAUUUCCUUCUCACAGUCACACAGACUCCUUCCCCUUUUAUACCUUUCUCUUCCAAGACUCGCACCGUAUCUAGAGAGAGACACCGACCGCCCACCUCCAUUUCUGCAUUUUCACUCUUCCCACUUCAUCCUUUUUCUCUCUUCCCUCCAGAUCUGACCUUCUAUUUCUUUUCAUUCCUUCAACCUUUGUUAUUCCACUGCCCCUACUCCCGGAUCUAACCAACGGUUUCAUUACUUGCUCAGGUCACUAGGGUGAGCGGAUUCAAGCCAUGGCUCCGAGCACGAUCCGGAAGGCGAUCGGGGCGGUGAAGGAUCAGACCAGCAUCGGGAUCGCUAAAGUUGCUAGCAACAUGGCGCCGGAGCUGGAAGUUGCUAUAGUCAAAGCUACCAGCCACGAUGAUGACCCCGCCUCCGAGAAGUAUAUAAGGGAAAUUCUUCAGUUGACUUCCUAUUCUCAUGGAUAUGUCAGCGCUUGUGUAGUU